rnacentral:rRNA from 1 species
AGCGAACGCUGGCGGCAGGCCUAACACAUGCAAGUCGAACGGAUCCUUCGGGAUUAGUGGCGGAUGGGUGUGGCACACGUGGGAACGUUCCCUUUUGUUCGGAACAACUCAGGGAAACGUGAGCUAAUGCCGGAUGGGCCCUUCGGGGGAAAGAUUUAUCGCCAUUGGAGCGGCCCGCGUCGCAUUAGCUAGUGGGUGAGGUAACGGCCCACCACGGCGACGAUUAGUAGCUGGGUAGAGAGGAUGGUCCGCCACACUGGGACUGAGACCCGGCCCGGAAUCUUGCGGGAGGCGCGAGUGGGGAAUCUUGCGCAAUGGGCGAAAGCCUGACGCAGCCAGGCCGGGAGAAUGCUGAAGGUAUUAGGAAUGUAAAAUUCUUUCAGCGGGGACGAUCAUGACGGUACCCGAAGAAGAAGCUCCGGCUAACUUCGUG